UACGGAGGAGGCAAGCGUUAUCCGGAAUGAUUGGGCGUAAAGCGUCCGUAGGUGGUUUUUCCAGUCGGCUGUUAAAGAGCAAAGCUCAACUUUGUAAAGGCAGUGGAAACUGAAAGACUAGAGAGCCGUAGGGGUAGAGGGAAUUCCCGGUGUAGCGGUGAAAUGCGUAGAGAUCGGGAAGAACACCGGUGGCGAAGGCGCUCUGCUAGGCCGCAACUGACACUGAGGGACGAAAGCUAGGGGAGCGAAUGGG
rnacentral:rRNA from 1 species